rnacentral:rRNA from 1 species
AAAUCAAGUCGUGUUACCUUUAGAGAGUCGGAGGCACUAACAGGGCUGUGAUGUCCUUAGAUGUUCUGGGCCGCACGCGCACUACACUGAUGAAGUCAUCGAGUUCAUUUCCUUUAUCGGAAGAUAUGGGUAAUCUUUUGAAACUUCAUCGUGCUGGGGAUAGAGCAUUGCAACUAUUGCUCUUGAACGAGGAAUCCCUAGUAAGUACAAGUCACUAGCUUGUGCUGAUUACGUCCCUGCCCUUUGUACACACCGCCCGUCGCUACUACCGAUUGAAUGGCUUAGUGAGGCCUUCGGAUUGAAAUUCGGAGACUGGCAACAGACUCUUGGUUUUGAAAAGUUGGACAAACUUGGUCAUUUAGAGGAAGUA